rnacentral:lncRNA from 1 species
AUAAUUCAUGCCUAGACUAAAUAAUAAAUCACGAACAUGUGAUACCCAGUUUCUCUUGCCAUUUGAGGCAUCAAUGCGCAGGAGGUUAUAAAUAUCAUAUACCAUAUUAGGUUGAUCAUAUAUUAUAUGCAACCAAAACUUUAUAAUUCUAUGUUUCCUUAAAAUGAACAUAGGUAGAUGACCAAGUUCACCACACAAAAAGGC